CGGCAAAAGCUCAAAUUUGAAAUCUGGUACCUUCGGUGCCCGAGUUGUAAUUUGGAGAGGGCAACUUUGGGGCCGUUCCUUGUCUAUGUUCCUUGGAACAGGACGUCAUAGAGGGUGAGAAUCCCGUGUGGCGAGGAGUGCGGUUCUUUGUAAAGUGCCUUCGAAGAGUCGAGUUGUUUGGGAAUGCAGCUCUAAGUGGGUGGUAAAUUCCAUCUAAAGCUAAAUAUUGGCGAGAGACCGAUAGCGAACAAGUACAGUGAUGGAAAGAUGAAAAGAACUUUGAAAAGAGAGUGAAAAAGUACGUGAAAUUGUUGAAAGGGAAGGGCAUUUGAUCAGACAUGGUGUUUUGUGCCCUCUGCUCCUUGUGGGUAGGGGAAUCUCGCAUUUCACUGGGCCAGCAUCAGUUUUGGUGGCAGGAUAAAUCCAUAGGAAUGUAGCUUGCCUCGGUAAGUAUUAUAGCCUGUGGGAAUACUGCCAGCUGGGACUGAGGACUGCGACGUAAGUCAAGGAUGCUGGCAUAAUGGUUAU
rnacentral:rRNA from 1 species